CUCCGGAGGGUGCGAGCGUUAAUCGGAAUUACUGGGCGUAAAGGGUGCGUAGGCGGCUUGAUAAGUCGGAUGUGAAAGCCCCGGGCUUAACCUGGGAAUUGCAUUCGAUACUGUCAGGCUAGAGUAUGUCAGAGGUUGGCGGAAUUCCUGGUGUAGCGGUGAAAUGCGUAGAUAUCAGGAGGAACACCAGUGGCGAAGGCGGCUAACUGGGACAAUACUGACGCUUAGGCACGAAAGCCUGGGGAGCAAACAGGAUUAGAUACCCUAGUAGUCC
rnacentral:rRNA from 1 species